rnacentral:rRNA from 1 species
CAACGACUCUCGGCAACGGAUAUCUCGGCUCACGCAUCGAUGAAGAACGUAGCAAAAUGCGAUACUUGGUGUGAAUUGCAGAAUCCCGUGAACCAUCGAGUUUUUGAACACAAGUUGCCCCAGAAGCCUUUUGGUAGAGCACACGUCCGCCUGGGCGUCACAU